rnacentral:lncRNA from 1 species
CUGUAACCCAAUUACCGCUAAUGGUCAUGACACUGUGGACGAGGCCCUCUAGCUGUCCCAGGUCCCUUGUAACCUAGAGCUUACCCUUGAUGGAGGCAGUAGGGCUCUUGGGCAGGGAGGCCAAGGGUGAAUAGCCUUGGGGUGAGGCUUGGGGCCCAAAGUUGAGGUAGGGUUUAAACUGUGGUCUGCAGUGUCUGGAACUGGCCUCCUCAAACAGAACGCAGGAGUCCUAGGCUCUUGUCCAGACUCAGCCUGACCUGGUGACUGACCUUGGAUUAGCUUGUCCCCCUUUGAAAAAUGGGAUGGCAGUAUCGGCCUCAUGUGGAUGGACCAGGAGUGGACUGCAGGUGGUGUACACCCCAGUCCCUCCCUUGACUUCACCUUUUCCCUCCUCCCAGGAGCUCAUUCCUGAUGGGCAGCAAAAUUGUUUGUGGAUGAGUCAGAACCACUCCCCAACUAGGGCUGCGGGGCGCACUGCCAGCCCUGGGCCACCACUUUCUUGUUGAGGAAGUUGGGGUUUGGUGCGUUAGAGUGAAUACUCGCGUCCACAGAACCCAGGACCGCUUGCAGGAACUGGGUAGGUUAAGUGAGUUAUGUCCACGACCCUCCUGGAAAGAAGUCUGAGCAUUCUCUCGGGGUCAGGGUAGAAGUGGAGUUGGGGCUGGAUUUGGGUCUGUGA